AGUACGAUCGCAAGAUUAAAACUCAAAGGAAUUGACGGGGCCCCGCACAAGCAGCGGAGCAUGCGGCUUAAUUCGACGCAACGCGAAGAACCUUACCAAGGCUUGACAUAUAGCGAAAAGUGGCAGAGAUGUCAUGUCCGCAAGGGCGCUAUACAGGUGGUGCAUGGUUGUCGUCAGCUCGUGUCGUGAGAUGUUGGGUUAAGUCCCGCAACGAGCGCAACCCUCGUUCUGUGUUACCAGCAUUCAGUUGGGGACUCACAGGAGACUGCCGGGGUCAACUCGGAGGAAGGUGGGGAUGACGUCAAAUCAUCAUGCCCCUUAUGUCUUGGGCUGCACGCAUGCUACAAUGGCCGGUACAAAGUGCUGCGAGAUCGCAAGAUUGAGCGAAUCACAUAAAGCCGGUCUCAGUUCGGAUUGAGGUCUGCAACUCGACCUCAUGAAGUCGGAGUUGCUAGUAAUCGUAGAUCAGCAACGCUACGGUGAAUACGUUCCCGGGGCUUGUACACACCGCCCGUCACGUCACGAAAGUCGGUAACACCCAAAGUUAGUGGCCCAACCGCAAGGGGGGAGCUACCUAAGGUGGGAUCGGUGAUUGGGACG
rnacentral:rRNA from 1 species